rnacentral:lncRNA from 1 species
GUUGCUGGUCCGUUUUCAUCUUCUUCUUCUGUCAUUAAGUUCGGCGCCACCAAUGGCAGACUCAACGCCUUCUCAGAGUAGCAUGGAUCGGAGAAGCUCAUCGUGGCCUUUGGGUCUUCUCACUUUGAUCUUGGCUCCAGUUGCAGCAGCCAUGCUUCUCUACCAACUCGACCCCUAUGACCCAGCUCCUGUCCCCAUCCACGAGUUUUCACAGCAACCCAUGGUCGUGCCCAAGCUCAACCCUCGCAUGCUACAAGGAUCGGAGAUGAUUGGGGUUGGGAAGCUNNNNNNNNNNNNNNNNNNNNNNNNNNNNNNNNNNNNNNNNNNNNNNNNNNNNNNNNNNNNNNNNNNNNNNNNNNNNNNNNNNNNNNNNNNNNNNNNNNNNACACCGGUUGUGAUGAUGGCUGGGUCAAGCGAAUCACCUUGAACGAUUCCAUGGUACAGAACUGGGCUUUCACCGGAGGACGACCCCUCGGCGUGGCUCUCGGCCGCCACGGUCAGCUUGUUGUCGCUGAUGCCGAAAAGGUCGGUAAAUGAUUUUCCUGUUUCCCAUUUACUUUUCUUAGCAAUAUAUUCACUUCCAAAGUUAAUUCCAUAGUUUAGCGAUCCCGCCCCCAACUCUAGCGGAGAAGCACCCUCUAUCCACUUUCCCUUUUCCGGUCGGGUGGAAUAUCUAACCGUCCAACCGGCUGUUAGAUCGCAGAACCGGACAAACUGCCUGGUUUUGCACUCCCAUCCGUUAUUUAAUAUUUUACACAGCUAUAAAUUCUGAUUUUAUUUAAUUAAGAAAGAUUGUAAAAGAAAAAAAUAAAAAAAUCAUAGUCAUACUCACGUGUCACGACAAACGAAUAGCAGAAAAUGAAGCACACACGUCGGCACAAACAAGGUCCACCUGCCCUUCAUAGAUUGACUGAUUGAUAUACAGAAGCCUACGCAUCCCUCCCCUUUGGCCCACCAACUAAUAAUAAAUUAAUAAUUAAUAAUUCACUGUUGACCGAGUUGAAUUUGAUAUGCCUAAUAAAAAAUAGUAAUUUACAGUUUACUAUCUUGUUAAAUAAAUACAUUUGUAGUAAAUUUCGUUAAGAAAAUGAUCACAUGUGGCAGGGUCUAUUGGAGGUAACUGCAGACGGUAUGGUGAAGACGUUGACCGAUGAGGCUGAGGGUCUAAAAUUCAAGCUAACUAAUGGUGUGGAUGUGGCGGUUGAUGGCAUGAUUUAUUUCACAGAUGCUUCCUAUAAAUAUGGCUUGAAAGAACAUAUUCGGGACAUUUUGGAGGGUAGGCCCCAUGGUAGACUAAUGAGUUUUGACCCAUCAACUGAAGAGACCAAAGUGCUGGUUCGCGACCUGUUCUUCGCUAAUGGAGUUGUCGUCUCACCUGAUCAAAAUUCUGUGAUAGUAUGUGAAAGUGUCAUGUACGUUUCUCACUCACUUCCUAAAGGUUUAUUAUCGAAGAGAAUUUAUACUAAAUUUAUGUUAAUUUCAUUCGUAUUUCAUGAACUCUUUAUUUUUUAUGUUUAAAACAUAAUUGUAAAUUAAGGUGAGUAAGAGUCGUUCUAAUUACGUAGAGGGUAUUAGAGAGUUCUUUGUAUAGGGAGAGGUGGGCGCUCCCAUGCCUUUGAGCCAAAUGAAUGAUUUUCGCUUUACGGAAAUAACAAAAACCACCAUCUUAGUAAAAUAUUUAAAAUAAGACUUAUACAAAUAUCUAAAAUGAGUUUCAUAUAUACAAUGUGAAUCUAAUUUAAUUAAAAUCAUUACUCUAUGUGAAAUAAUUAAUAAUCGCAGGAGAAGGUGCUUAAAAUACCACAUACAAGGUGAAAGAAAAGGAUCGAUGGACAAGUUCAUCGAUAAUUUACCGGGUCCACCUGACAAUAUCCUAUACGAUGGCGAAGGACAUUAUUGGAUUGCAUUGCCUAUGGUAAUUCAAUUCUUACAUUUUAUAUUGAAUUAGUGCUAAUUCAAUCGAGAUGUUAGGAUAUAGUGUGACACCUUUGAAACAUUGCACAAUUUUGACAGGGAAACUCAUUGGCUUGGGAUUUGGCAUUGAAAUAUCCCUGGAUCCGAAAGGUUGUGGCAAUCAUGGAGAGGUACAAAGUAAGGCCUCAUAUAGAGAAAAAUGGAGGGGUUUUGGCUGUUGAUUUGGAAGGAAAACCAACUGCAUAUUAUCAUGAUCCUGGUUUGUCAGAGGUUUCAAGUGGAGUGAAAAUCGGGAAUUAUUUAUAUUGCGGUUCCGUUGCAAAACCCUACAUGAUCCGCCUUGAUCUUCAUCAACAUGUUGCGCGUGCCACCAUGUGACUGAGCGAGUGGCCCUUGUCGAAAUCAUGGAGAUGCAAAGAAAAAGCUCUAAUUAAGGAAAGUCGGCAUGCAGUUUAUAGAAGAUUGUCCUAAUGACAAUGGAGGAAGGCUAUGGUAUGACACGGAUCAGCUACCAAACUCCCUAAGAGAAAUGUUGUGUGAGGUUGAAUUGAUUGUAAAUCCUAUGAAUUGCAAUGGUUGAUUGGCUGCAAAUCGUAUGAUAGUUGUUUAUAGUCAUUUUCAUAGUUCAAAUCCCAUAAAUUUCAUUAAAUCCGGCAACACCACUCUACUCCAAUGUGUGAAUUAAUUUUACAUGCGGCACAUGGAGCGUCCAUCCCAAAGUUCAUGCAAACAGAUUUAAUAUUUAGGUCUUGAGUUUAGGAAACAGGCACUUGCUGACAAUCAUAGAGAUCUUCCUCUGCACUGACUUCCCUGUUAUAGCUUGUUGCCUAACCUCCGUUAAUGGAGUGAGCUUGAAGUAUAAAAGCUAAAAUUUCAUCACUUAAAAGAUGUCUCUAUAAUUUAAUGACUUAAUUUAAGUCAUUAAAUAUAUUAAACAUAUUUGAUAAAAUAAUUUAAUAUCAUAAUUUAACUAAAAAAUAACUUUAAAUAUUAAAUUAAAAUAAUUAAAUUAUUUUUCAUCUCAAAUUUCUUUUAUAUUAUCUAUAUAUGAACAUAUAUUAUAUUAUUAUGACUUUAUAUUUAAAUUUCAUCUUUUAUAAUAAAUCUUUUUAUAAUUAUCUUAUGCAUCCAUAAUAUUUUAGAUAUGAAUAUUUAAUAAAAUAAAUUUAUUACUUAAAAUAGAUGAAAAUAUAAUUAUUUAUAAAAACUAAUGAGGGUAAAUAUGUCAAUUUGAUGAUUUUAAAUUAAUUUGAUCAAAUAAUCUUAAAAUAAAAAUUAAGUAAUAAACUUUAAGUCAAUAAUUUAAAAAUAAUUUAAUUUAAAAUUAAUUUAAAUUAUUAAAUAAUAAAUAUUAAAUUUUACCAAAUACCUACUUAAUAAUAAACCAGAAGAAUGCAUUCCAUGGGUCAAGUUGAGCGUCUAAAUAAAUAAACAAAUAAGAUUUUUAUAUGCUCUUAUUUUUUAAAUCAAGCAGGUUUGCCCUCUUCAUUACUUUACUCCUACACGUUGCUACUCCGUUUUAUUAUUCUUCUUCUUCUUUUGCACCACCAAUGGCAGACCCAACGCCUUCUCAGAGUAGCAUGGAUCGGAGGAGAUCAUCGGGGCCUUUGGGUCUUCUCACUUUGAUCUUGGCUCCAGUAGCAACAGUCAUGCUUCUCUACCAACUCGACCCCUAUGACCCAGCUCCUGUCCCCAUCCACGAGUUUUCACAGCAACCCAUGGUCGUGCCCAAGCUCAACUCUCGCAUGCUACAAGGAUCGGAGAUGAUUGGGGUUGGGAAGCUUUUGGGUCCAGAGGACAUUGCCUACCAUCCCGACUCACACCUCAUCUACACCGGUUGUGUUGAUGGCUGGGUCAAGCGAGUCACCUUGAACGAUUCCGUGGUGCAGAACUGGGCUUUCACCGGAGUGUUGAGGCCUCGCGUCCCUGGUGAUCCACGUAGUUGCCAAAUGGAUGGACGCACGAUCUCAACCAAUAUAGGUUCUUGAUUCAGUCGUUCCACCUGCAAAAGGCGUCCGGACGGGGUGUCCAUAGAAGAUACCGUCUUAUGUGUUGGUCAUAAUGGGGAAAGAUUGUGGAAUGACCCUACUUUGCCUUCAUAAUCUUGAAGAUAAAUAUGUUGUUGAAUUGAAUCGACUGUACGUGAUUAAUGUCAUGAACUUGAUCGAAAUAAUAUUUGUUCUAUAAGUUUAAGCAAUGGCAUAGUGUUAAAGGAAUUCAAUCAAAACUUAACUCUUAUAAUAGAUGGUGCACUUGAUCGAAAUAAUAUUUGUUCUAUAAGUUUAAGCAAUGGUUAAAUGUUAAAGGAAUUCAAUCAAAACUUAACUCUUAUAAUAGAUGGUGCAGUCAAAUUGAUCUCUAAUCAUUUCCAAAAGAGAAGCACGUUUAUUUCCAAAACUUCACUGCUAUUUAAUAAUUACACAAUAUAUUUCUACUACAACUUCAAUAAUGACAUUUAAAAGCAUCAAACUUCAGACUUAGACCUAGUUUGGGAACUGUUUUCAAUAACAGUUUUCUAUUUUAUAAAACAAAAAAAUUGGAAAACACGUUUGACAAUCAAAAGUUAUUUUCUAUUUAUUUUUUAUCAGUUUUUAUAGAAUAUUUUUUAGUCGUUUUCACUUAUUUUUUGAAAACUAUUAUACAAAUAUAUAUAAUGAUUAAAAAUAAAGUUGUAAACAUAAAAAUUAUUUUUAAAAUAUAUUUAAAAAUAUUAAAAACAAUAUAUUUCUACUACAACUUCAAUAGUGACAUUUAAAAGCAAUAGGCUUGAGACUUAGGUCUUGUUUGGGAACUAUUUUUAAAAACAAUUUUAUGUUUUUCAGAACAAAAAAAUUAGAAAAUAUGUUUGGUAACUAGAAACUGUUUUCUAUUUUUUGUUCUUAGAAAAUAGAAACAUGGUGUUUUCAGAUAACAUCUUUUAGUUGUUUUCAAUUAUUUUUUUUAGAGUUAUUUUAAAAAAUAAUUACAAAAACAUAUAUAAUGAUUAAAAAUAAAGUUAUAGACAUAAAAAUUAUUUUUAAAACAUAUUUAAAAAUAUUAAAAACAGAUUAAAAGUAUUUUAGGUUCUCAAAUAGAUAUUUAUUCUACAAAAUAUCAUAGGAGAGUUUUUAAAAACUGUUCUUAAAAACUAUUUUUCAUAACUGUUUUUAAAAAUAGUUAUCAAACAAGCUCUUAACUUUUUUGUUUUUCUACAAAGGGUUCAUGGCCAACAAGAAGAGGCAAAGAUGUCAAACACCACUCCACCCUCUCAAAAUAUGUUCCUUUCGUUUUUUUCUUUUGCCUUUUUUGUCUCCCCCUUCGUGAUUAAAUUUCGUUUUUUAUAUAUUUUUUUCAAACUCAUUUAACUUAUUUUCUUCUAUUAUAUAAAAAAUAAAUAAUUUUAAAAUGUAUAAAUUUCUAACUAAGUUUGUUUUUCUUCCAUAUUUUCUAUGGUGAAAUUAAAUAUGAGAAAACUAUUUUUCUUAUCAUUUUUGUUUCUUUUCUUAAUAAUUUCUGGAAACCAAAUAUAGCUUAAAGAAAACGGUUUUCUCAUAUUUGAUUUCACCAUAAAAAAUAUAAAAGAAAAUCAAAUAUCAUUAAAAUUUGUCAAAAUUUUAUGUAGUUUUAAAUUAUUUAAUAUUUAUACUAAUAGAAGGAAAUAAGAAAAAUGAGUUUAAAAAAACGUAUAAAACUAAUUUAUCAUGGUGAAGAUGCGAAAAGAGAUCCUGAGGUAAGUUAAGAGAAAUCAAUUUGGUUUUUAGAGGUAUAGAUAAUAUGGCUAGCAACAGUAGCAAGUGAAUUUAUUUGAAACAGUCGUUGAUCAACUGCCAUAUAGAGCUAUUUUGCCUCUUGGUGUGAGCUGUUCUAUAAACAUGUUGCUAUUUCAAUCAUUUAUCCUGUACACACUCAUAUUUUUUUAGUUCAUUAAAGAAAAAAAAUACCAGUUUUAUAUAAUCUAUAAUUCUUCCUACACUAAAUUUUCAUAAUUGUCAGAAACCACCCCUUCAAUUGAUCCAUAUACUAUGUAAUGCGCUUCCUAAAGUCAUACUCCAAGCAAUUUCUGGAACAAUGUAGAUGGAUCUUCAAUCUAUUUCGGCCCUAACUACUACCAUAACCAUAAGAGAAGAUUCGUCGUUCAAAGAGCUUUAUUCGCUCCUUUCUUAGGCGUGGGGAAACUGAACAUCAAUCAAAUAUAAAGAUUGAGGCGGGGACCGCACUGAAGACAGCAAGUUUCGGGCAAGCAAGCUACCACAUGUAGGCUUUUUAAUCUUUCUCUUGCUCAUGCUCCAAUCUGAUGGUGUUAGAACCUUGGGGCUACCUAUCUUGAAGCCAAUCCAUUCUUCCAUGCGCGCACAACACAUGUUGAAAUUCCACCUUUUCAGAUACAAGGUGGUUUGGUCUUUUCUUAUAUAAGAAAGAUUCUCUUAAGGAUAUUAAUAAUAUAGACAUAACCAGGAUAUAAAAAAUUUUCUUUUGGGGUUCUCCAAAGGAUCACCAGCUUCGACAGUAAAAAAAUUUGUGUUAACAAUGCUUCCUAGACACUGAUUGGAAAAUAAACAUACUUAUUUUUUAAUAUGGAGUCCCUUGAAAAUAUCUGGCUUUCUCUUUCUCUCUAGCAUAUUCGGCGGAGUCUCAACUACCACACAACUACUAUCAAACAGUCUUGGUGGGUUCUCCUGGCCCCUGCCCUCUAUUUAAUUAAGUGGUCCCAUUUGCUUUCAAGUGGCUUGGCGCUAGAACACUUCAUUAAGAAAUAUCAGAGUACCAAAGAGCAUUUAAUCAUACACUCACUUUAAGGGCACUCUAAAUGGAUGGAAACUGCCAUUCGCUGGGGGGAAUUCGAAGUCAGACAAGUAAGACAAGCAAGCAACCAUGGCCGAAAAAACGGAACCAUCAGCCAUGAAUCAAAGAAGGUAUUCUCGACCGCUCACCUGGUCGUUACUAUAAGAUGAUAAAGAUGCAGGCUGCUCAUUAUUAUUAGAAGAGCGAGGCUGGUUUCCAACUGCUCAAUAGAGGGCUGCGACCCUGAUUCCCUUGGGAUUCUGACUCCCCUGAUGCACGGAAGGCGCAGGAAAAACCAAUACAUAAAGAUGCCUAAAAAACUCUAAAUUAGAUGAAGAUGAGAUGUAGUUGAUAGAAGAUACUGUCUAUGUGUUGGCCACGUGGGCAUGACACUGAUUUGCCCUUGUAAUCCUUGAGAUUUAAAAAAAAAAAAAAAACCUUAAUGAUGUAUGCAAUUUGCUUUCAAAAUUUAAAUAAUUUGUUUUAAACUUUUUUUUUUUGCUUAUUACUUGUUUCUAAAGUUUUUUUUUAUUAUAUAUAAAAUGUCAAAAUAUUUGAUAUUUUAUUGAAUGUUAAAAAUAACUUUUUGAAAUAAUAAAAAAACAACUCAAUAUGAUCAUUGCUCUAUUAAGAUUUAAUAUCUAAUAGAAAUAAAAAAAAUAAAAACACAAUUAAUACUAUUGAGUUGUAUUUAAAGUUGAGUUAAAUUAUGUUUUAUUCAACCAAAAAAAUAAUAUGAGCGUAUAAAGAAUAGUCAACUUUAAUAUAACUCUUAGGGUCUGUUUGAUAGUAACUAAUUAUAGAAAAUGUUUUUAACUUGAAAAAUGCUUUUAAAAAAACAUUAAGUGUUCGACAAACUUCGUGAAAUAUUUUUAAAAAUUUAAAAGUUAUUUGUGAUAUUAAAAAAUCACUUGUAAUAUUUUUAAAAAAAAAUAUUUAAUAAGUAAUUUCUUAAAAAACAUUUUUUUAAAAAAUAAAUAUUUUUUACUAAAAACACUUAGAAUAUAGAUACUGUCAAACACAUUCUUAAUAGAUAUUGCAUUGCAUAAACAUCGGGUUAGAUAAGGUAGGCUUGUCCUCAUAAACAUUCUAUGCUACUUGGGAGUCCAAAGGUUGUUUAGGACAAAACUUUUACGAGACAAGUUUCUUUUAGAAGUUUAAAAAUACUUAGACAUGCAUGCACCGAUGGGAAAGCAAAGAUGAAUAAAAGUCAAAUUAGUCGGUUUCCAAAAGUAAGGUGUUUCUAUUCCCACAAUUUCACUGAUAUUUAAUAAAUAACAGUAUGUUUCCGCUGCAAUUAAUUACUUCAGUAACAUUUAAAAGUAGCAUCCUUCAUUCAUAACUCUCUUGUCUGUCUUGAAAAGUUUAUGGUUAGUGGAAGAGGUAGAUCUGUCAAGCACCAAUCCCCCUUUCAAGCUAUGUUCCUUACUCUUUUUCCCCUGCUUAAAUAAAUUUCUAACUUAAUGAAAAUCCUAUAUCAUACCCAAAGACGUGGGAUAUGGUAGAGAAUGGUUAUUAAUAACUAGCUUUCUUGGCAGCAACUUACUAGGCUGAAAGAAAAUCCUAAGAAGAAUUAAGACAUUGUUUAAUAUCUAUGACUAAGGCAAUGAUCAAGACUAACUUCUAGAAGAGUUUGCUUGUUUAUGUCAUUGUGACCUUACUUACCAAGGAUGCAGAAAUACUUGUACUGUUAGACGUAGGAUACUGGGUUAUUGGAGUUUUGGGUCAAAAUGGCUCAUUUAAAAAAAAAAAUGUAACAUCUAACCAUUUUUUGAAACUUAUGUUCAAACUAGCCUCUUUGAUGCCACGUAGGCACCAUGUCAUUAAAAAAUAUUUUUUUUUCAUUAUUUUAGUUAAAACCGUAAUUGGCAACUACGGCUUCAUAUUUGAACUAAAACCGUACUUGGUAACUGCGACUUCAUUUUUUAACUAAAGUCGCAGUUGACAACUGCGGUUUCAUUUUUGAACUAAAGUCACAGUUGGCAACUGCGACUUCAUUUUUAAACUAAAGUCGUAGUUGCCAACUGAGGUUUUAAUUAAUUUUUUUUUAAAUUUAAUUAAAAAUUAUUAAAUUACAAUUUAUGAUUGAAAUUUUAAAAUAUACUUAAAUAAUAAAUUAUUUAUAUUUAAAUUUAAAAAUCUAGUUACACAUAGGUUCCAUGUGAAAUUAUAUAUGUUUUUUAUUUUCCACCAUAUUAAUGUUUAGUGGAUAUUUUUUGUGACUUUAAUUAAACUAUUAAAAAUUACAUUUUGUAGUAGACUUUUUGUAAUUAAUUUCAUUAACUAAUUUUGUAAAAAAAUCUAUAUAUGAUAACUACGGCUUAAGAGUAUACUAUUAUUUCGACAAAGAUAAAUUUGUCAUAAUAUAAAUAAAUUAAUAUUUUAAAAAACAAACAAUUAAAUAUUUUAAAUUAAUAAAUUAUACAAUUUUAUAUAUUAUUUAUAUGUUAUAUAAGUUUAUUAUUUUAAGAUUAUUAAUUUAUUAAUAAAUAAAACAUUCAUUUAUAAUAUCUUCUAUUUAUUAAUUUAUGUUUAUUGAACUAAUACUAGAUUCUUAAGUUUAAAUAUAAAUAAUUUAUUAUUAAAGUAUAUAUUUUUAAUUUCAAUAAUAAAUUAUAAUUUAAUAGUUUUUAAUUAAAUUUGAAAGAAAAAAAAAUUAUAAUUGAAAUCUUAGUUACCAAUUACGACUUAAAAGUAUACUAUUAUUUUGAUAAAGAUAAAUUUAUCAUAAUACAAAUAAAUUAAUAUCUUAAAAAACAACAAAUUAAAUAUCUUAAAUUAAUAAAUUAUACAAUUUUAUAUAUUAUUUAUAUGCUAUAUAAGUUUAUUAUUUUAAGAUUAUUAAUUUAUUAAUAAAUAAAAUAUUCAUUUAUAAUAUCUUUUAUUUAUCAAUUUAUGUUUGUUGAAGUAAUAUUAGAUUUUUAAGUUUAAAUAUAAAUAAUUUAUUAUUUAAGUAUAUUUUUAAAAUUUCAAUCAUAAAUUAUAAUUUAAUAGUUUUUAAUUAAAUUUGAAAGUAAAAAAAAUUAUAAUUGAAAUCUCAGUUAUCAACUACGACUUAAAAGUAUACUAUUAUUUCGAUAAAGAUAAAUUUAUCAUAAUACAAAUAAAUUAAUAUCUUAAAAAACAACAAAUUAAAUAUUUUAAAUUAAUAAAUUGUACAAUUUUAUAUAUUAUUUAUAUGUUAUAUAAGUUUAUUAUUUUAAGAUUAUUAAUUUAUUAAUAAAUAAAAUAUUCAUUUAUAAUAUCUUCUAUUUAUCAAUUUAUGUUUGUUAAAGUAAUAUUAGAUUUUUAAAUUUAAAUAUAAAUAAUUUAUUAUUUAAAUAUAUUUUUAAAAUUUCAAUCAUAAAUUUUAAUUUAAUAGUUUUUAAUUAAAUUUGAAAGUAAAAAAAAAANNNNNNNNNNNNNNNNNNNNNNNNNNNNNNNNNNNNNNNNNNNNNNNNNNNNNNNNNNNNNNNNNNNNNNNNNNNNNNNNNNNNNNNNNNNNNNNNNNNNUCAGUUAUCAGCUACAGCUUAAAAGUAUAUUAUUAUUUCCAUAAAGAUAAAUUUAUCAUAGUACAAAUAAAUUAAUAUCUUAAAAAACAACAAAUUAGAUAUUUUAAAUUAAUAAAUUAUAUAAUUUUAUAUAUUAUUUAUAUGUUAUAUAAGUUUAUUAUUUUAAGAUUAUUAAUUUAUUAAUAAAUAAAAUAUUCAUUUAUAAUAUCUUCUAUUUAUCAAUUUAUGUUUGUUAAAGUAAUAUUAGAUUUUUAAAUUUAAAUAUAAAUAAUUUAUUAUUUAAAUAUAUUUUUUAAAUUUCAAUCAUAAAUUGUAAUUUAAUAAAUUUUAAUUAAAUUUUAAAUUUAAAAAAAAAUUAACUAAAGCCUCAGUUGGUAACUACAGUUUUAGUUCAAAAAUGAAGCCGCAGUUGGCAACUGUGACUUUAACUAAAAUAAAAUAUAUAUAUAUAUAUAUAUAUAUAUAUAUAUAUAUAUAUAUAUAUAUAUAUAUAUAUAUUUUAAUGACACUACAUGGCACCAAAAAGACCAAUUUAAACAUAAGUUUCGAAAGGUGGUUAGAUAUUACAAUUUUUUUUUUAAAUGGGUCAUUUUGACCCAAAACUUGUGUUAUUGACUUACUUACUUAUUGGUAUAUAUCAAAUUGAGGACCAUUGAUUUUUAGGUGUUUGAAAUUUAAGCCCAUAAAGAGGUAGGUUGACAUCAUUGCAAAACAGAUCACGGGAAAUUGUGAAAGAGCUUAUGAAGCAAGUAAGAGAAACCAGUCUGGCUUAGAGGUAAAAGAUGAAAUUGCUAGCAAGUGAAUUUUGUUGAAAUUGCUGUCAAUUUCAAAAAGGGAGAUGACUUUUUAAGCCCGACUCAUCUUUCCAUAAAAAAGUAAUGGGACAUUUUUGCUUUCAUAUUUUGGCCUCAUCUAUCUUAUACCAGUAUAAAAUGAAAAUAUAUCUAUCAAUCAGAUCAAAGUUAAAUGCUGAUACAAUUAACAUAACAUGUUAUGGCCACCACGCGAAAUUGUUCAUUGAUUACAAAACAAGAAGGGAAAGAAAGAAAGCAAAUCAAAUCAAACCCCACCCACCUGUGAUAUUUUUGGCGUGUGUGAGAGGCGGCAAAGAUUAGCGGAUACUCAAAGGUCAAGUUGAGCGUCUAAAUAAAUAAACAAAUAAGAUUUUUAUAUGCUCUUGUUUUUUAAAUCAAGCAGGUUUGCCCUCUCCACUGCUUUACUCCUAGAGGUUGCUGGUCCGUUUUCAUCUUCUUCUUAUUCUGUCAUUAAGCUCGUCACCACCAAUGGCAGACUCAACGCCUUCUCAGAGUAGCAUGGCUCGGAGAAGCUCAUCGUGGCCUUUGGGUCUUCUCACUUUGAUCUUGGCUCCAGUUGCAGCAGCCAUGCUUCUCUACCAACUCGACCCCUAUGACCCAGCUCCUGUCCCCAUCCACGAGUUUUCACAGCAACCCAUGGUCGUGCCCAAGCUCAACCCUCGCAUGCUACAAGGAUCGGAGAUGAUUGGGGUUGGGAAGCUUUUGAGUCCAGAGGACAUUGCCUAUCAUCCCGACUCACACCUCAUCUACACCGGUUGUGAUGAUGGCUGGGUCAAGCGAAUCACCUUGAACGAUUCCAUGGUACAGAACUGGGCUUUCACCGGAGGACGACCCCUCGGAGUGGCUCUCGGCCGCCACGGUCAGCUUGUUGUCGCUGAUGCAGAAAAGGUCGGUAAAUGAUUUUCCUGUUUCCCAUUUACUUUUCUUAGCAAUAUAUUCACUUCCAAAGUUAAUUCCAUAGUUUAGCGAUCCCGCCCCCAACUCUAGCGGAGAAGCACCCUCUAUCCACUUUCCCUUUUCCGGUCCGGAGGAAUAUCUAACCGUCCAACCGGCCGUUAGAUCGCAGAACUGGACAAACUGCCUGGUUUUGCACUCCCAUCCAUUAUUUAAUAUUUUACACAGCGAUAAAUUCUGAUUUUAUUUAAUUAAGAAAGAUUGUAAAAGAAAAAAAUAAAAAAAAUCAUAGUCAUACUCACGUGUCACGACAAACGAAUAGCAGAAAAUGAAGCACACACGUCGGCACAAACAAGGUCCACCUGCCCUUCAUAGAUUGACUGAUUGAUAUACAGAAGCCUACGCAUCCCUCCCCUUUGGCCCACCAACUAAUAAUAAAUUAAUAAUUAAUAAUUCACUGUUGACCGAGUUGAAUUUGAUAUGCCUAAUAAAAAAUAGUAAUUUACAGUAUCUUGUUAAAUAAGUACGUUUGUAGUAAAUUUCGUUAAGAAAAUGAUCACAUGUGGCAGGGUCUAUUGGAGGUAACUGCAGACGGUAUGGUGAAGACGUUGACCGAUGAGGCUGAGGGUCUAAAAUUCAAACUAACUGAUGGUGUGGAUGUGGCGGUUGAUGGCAUGAUUUAUUUUACAGAUGCUUCCUAUAAAUAUGGCUUGAAAGAGCAUAUUCAGGACAUUUUAGAGGGUAGGCCCCAUGGUAGACUAAUGAGUUUUGACCCAUCAACUAAAGAGACCAAAGUGCUGGUUCGUGACCUGUUCUUCGCUAAUGGAGUUGUCGUCUCACCUGAUCAAAAUUCUGUGAUAGUAUGUGAAAGUGUCAUGUACGUUUCUCACUCACUUUCUAAAGGUUUAUUAUCGAAGAGAAUUUAUACUAAAUUUAUGUUAAUUUCAUUCGUAUUUCAUGAACUCUUUAUUUUUUAUGUUUAAAACGUAAUUGUAAAUUAAGGCGAGUAAGAGUCAUUUUAAUUACAUAGAGGGUAUUAAAGAGUUCUUAGUAUAGGGAGAGGUGGGCGCUCCCCUGCCUUUGAGCCAAUCGAAUGAUUUUCGUUUUACGAAAAUAACAAAAACCACCAUCUUAAUAAAAUAUUUAAAAUAAGACUUAUACAAAUAUCUAAAAUGAGUUUCACAUAUACAAUGUGAAUCUAAUUUAAUUAAAAUCAUUACUCUAUGUGAAAUAAUUUAUAAUUACAGGAGAAGGUGCUUAAAAUACCACAUACAAGGUGAAAGAAAAGGAUCGGUGGACAAGUUCAUCGAUAAUUUACCGGGUCCACCUGACAAUAUCCUAUACGAUGGCGAAGAACAUUAUUGGAUUGCAUUGCCUAUGGUAAUUCAAUUCUUACAUUUUAUAUUAGAUUAGUGUUAAUUCAAUCUAAAUGUUACGGUAUAGUGUGACACCUUUGAAACAUUGCAUUUUGGCAGGGAAACUCAUUGGCUUGGGAUUUGGCAUUGAAAUAUCCUUGGAUCCGAAAGGUUGUGGCAAUCAUGGAGAGGUACAAAGUAAGGCCUCAUAUAGAGAAAAAUGGAGGGGUUUUGGCUGUUGAUUUGGAAGGAAAACCAACUGCAUAUUAUUAUGAUCCUAGUUUGUCAGAGGUUACAAGUGGUGUGAAGAUUGGGAAUUAUUUAUAUUGCGGUUCCAUUACAAAACCAUACAUGAUCCGCCUCGAUCUUCAUCAACAUGCUGCGCGUGCCACCAUGUGACUGAGCGAGUGGCCCUUGUUGAAAUCAUGGAGAUGCAAAGAAAAAGCUUUAAUUAAGGAAAGUCGGCAUGCAGUUUUUAGAAGAUGGUCCUAAUAACAAUGGAGGAAGACUAUGGUAUGACACGGAUCAGCUACCAAAGUCCCUCAUAGAAAUGUUGUGUGGGGUUGAAUUGAUUGUAAAUCCUAUGAAUUGCAAUGGUUGAUUGGGUGCAAAUCGUAUGAUAGGGUCCAUCCCAAAGUUCAUGCAAACAGAUUUAAUAUUUAGGUCUUGACUUUAAGGAAACAGGCACUUGCUAACAAUCAUAAAGAUCUUCAUUCGCACUGACUUCCCUGUUAGAGCUUGUUGCCUAACCUCAUGGAGUGAGCUUGAAGUAUACAGCUAAAAUUUCAUCCCUUAAAAGAUGUUUCUAUUAUUUAAUAACUUAAUUUAAGUCAUUACAUAUAUUAAAGAUAAAAUAAUUUAUUAUCAUAAUUUAACUGAAAAAUAACUUUAAAUAUUAAGUUAAAAUAGUUAAAUUAUUUUUAAUCUCAAAUAUCNNNNNNNNNNNNNNNNNNNNNNNNNNNNNNNNNNNNNNNNNNNNNNNNNNNNNNNNNNNNNNNNNNNNNNNNNNNNNNNNNNNNNNNNNNNNNNNNNNNNUUAUAUUAUUAUGACUUUAUAUUCAAAUUUCAUCUUUUAUAGUAAAUUUUUUUGUAGUUAUUUUAUGCAUCCAUAAUACUUUAAAUAUGAAUAUUUAAUAAAAUAAAUUUAUUACUUAAAAUGGAUAAAAAUAUAAUUAUAUAUAAAAACUAAUGAGGGUAAAUAUGUCAACUUGAUGAUUUUAAAUAAAUUUUAUCAAAUAAUCUUAAAAUAAAAAUUAAGUGAUAAACUUUAAGUCAAUAAUUUAAUUUAAAAUUAAUUUAAAUUAUUAAAUAUUAAAUAUUAAAUUUUACCAAAUACCUACUUAAUAAUAAACCAGAAGAAUGCAUUCCAUAGGUCAAGUUGAGCGUCUAAAUAAAUAAACAAAUAAGAUUUUUAUAUGCUCUUAUUUUUUAAAUCAAGCAGGUUUGCCCUCUUCAUUACUUUACUCCUACACGUUGCUACUCCGUUUUAUUCUUCUUCUUCUUCUUUUGCACCACCAAUGGCAGACCCAACGCCUUCUCAGAGUAGCAUGGCUCGGAGAAGCUCAUCGUGGCCUUUGGGUCUUCUCACUUUGAUCUUGGCUCCAGUUGCAGCAGCCAUGCUUCUCUACCAACUCGACCCCUAUGACCCAGCUCCUGUCCCCAUCCACGAGUUUUCACAGCAACCCAUGGUCGUGCCCAAGCUCAACUCUCGUAUGCUACAAGGAUCGGAGAUGAUUGGGGUUGGGAAGCUUUUGGGUCCAGAGGACAUUGCCUACCAUCCCGACUCACACCUCAUCUACACCGGUUGUGCUGAUGGCUGGGUCAAGCGAGUCACCUUGAACGAUUCCGUGGUGCAGAACUGGGCUUUCACCGGAGGACGACCCCUCGGCGUCGCUCUCGGCCGCCACGGUCAGCUGAUCGUCGCUGAUGCCGAAAAGGUAAGUAGAUGAUUUUCUGUUUCCCGUUUACUUUGACUGUUUUUUUCAUUUUUAUUUUUUGUUUUCUUUAAAAAAAAAAACAUAUUAAUUUCUCUUAGAAAAUAUUAAAAAAAGCAACAAUUUUUUGUCAUUUUAAAAUUUUAAUUAAAUUAAUUACACUCUAUUCAUUCUUUAAUAUUUUACACAGCGAUAACUUCUAAUUUCAUUUUAAUUAAUAAUUAACAAUAUUUUGAUAAAACAAAAAAUAAGGGAAAAUACUUUGCUAUUUUUUAUUUUAUUAUCUUUUAAUACGUGAAUUUUCUAUUUUAAAAUUAAUUAUCACUUCCAAGGAGAUUGUGAAAGGAUGUUGAAAAUAAUAUUUUUGAAAAUUAAAUUAUGAAAACAAUAUUUAGGUUUAAAAUAAUUGGAGCAAUUAAAAUCUAAGCUCAAAUUUCUAUCAAACUUUGUUGACCAAAAAUAAAUACAAUAGUAGUAAAUUUCGUUAAGAAAAUGAUCACACGUGGCAGGGUCUAUUGGAGGUAACUACAGAUGGUAUGGUGAAGACGUUGACCGAUGAGGCUGAGGGUAUAAAAUUCAAACUAACCGACGGUGUGGAUGUCGCGGUUGAUGGCGUGAUUUAUUUUACGGAUGCUUCCUAUAAAUAUAGCUUGAAAGAAUACAUUUGGGACAUUUUUUAGAGGGUAGGCCCCAUGGUAGACUAAUGAGUUUUGACCCAUCAACUAAAGAGACCAAAGUGCUGGUUCGGGACCUGUUCUUCGCUAAUGGAGUUAUCGUCUCACCCGAUCAAAAUUCCGUGAUAUUCUGUGAAAGUGUCAUGUACGUUUCUCACUCACUUCCUAAAGUCUUUUUAUAGAAGAGAAUUUAUAUCAAAGUCGUGUUUUUUAUGUUUAAAACCUAAUUGUGAAUUAAGGUCAAUAGGAGUCGUUCCAAUUGAGUAGAGGGUACUACAGAGUUCUUAGUAUCAAGUGAGGUGGGCGCUCCCCCGACUAUAAGUCAAGCCAAUGAUUUUCGUUUUAUGGAAGCAAUUAAAACCACCAUCUUGCUAAAAUAUUUAAACUAAGACUUUUACAAACAUUUAAAAUGAGUUUCGCAUAUACAAUGUGAAACUAAUUUAAUUUUUUAUAAAAUCAUUAUCUUAUGUGAAAUGAUUUAUGAUUGCAGGAAAAUGUGCUUAAAAUAUUACAUACAAGGUGAAAGAAAAGGAUCCAUGGAUAAGUUCAUCGAUAAUUUAUCGGGUACACCUGAUAAUAUUCUAUAUGAUGGCGAAGGACAUUAUUGGAUUGCAUUACCCAUGGUAAUUGAAGUCUUGUAUUUUAUAUUAGAUUGGUGCUAUUACUAUGGUCUAAUGGUAUAGUGUGAUACCUUUGAAACAUUGCACAAAUUUGGCAGGGAAACUCAUUGGCUUGGGAUUUGGCAUUGAAAUAUCCUUGGAUCCGGAAGGUUGUGGCAAUCAUGGAAAGGUACAAAGUAAGGCCUCAUAUGGAGAAAAAUGGAGGGGUUUUGGUUGUUGAUUUGGAAGGAAAUCCAACUGCAUAUUAUUAUGAUCUUGGUUUGUCAGAGGUUACAAGUGGAGUGAAGAUUGGAAAUCAUUUAUAUUGCGGUUCUAUUACCACACGCUACAUGAUCCGACUUGAUAUUCAUCAACAUGCUGCGCGUGCCACCAUGUGACUGAGCGAGUGGCCCUUGUAGAAAUCAUGGAGAUGCAAAGAAAAAGCUCUAAAUUAAGCAGAAACAGCACGCAGUUUAUAAAAGAUGGUCUUAAUAACAAUGGGGGAAAACUAUGGUAUGACCAGUGUCAGCUACCAGAGUCUCUCAGAGAAAUGUUGGUUGGGGCUAAAUUGAUUGUAAAUCCUAUGAAUUGUUAUCGUUGAUUUGCUACAAAUCGUAUGAUAGUUGUUACAAAUCAUUUUCAGAGUAAAAAUCCCAUAAAUGUCAUUAAAGAAUGCAUUUGACAGUGAUUAUAGGAAGUGUUUUUAAUAUUUUUAAUAUUUGAAUGAUGAAAAUUUUCAAGUAUUAUAAAGGUUAGCAACAAUUUUUAAAAUCACUACCAAACGCACUCUAAAUAUAGCAAUAUCCCUCACAUCGGAGGGUUCAUCCAGAGUAAAUACAAAUAGAUUUAAUAUUUAGGUCUUGAUUUUAAGGAAAAAGGCACUUGGCGACAAUCAUAUAGAUCUUCCUCUGUAUUGACCUUUCUAUCAGAGCUUGUUGCCUAAUAUUUUAUAUUCACAUUUCAUCUUUUAUUGUAAAUCUUUUUGUAGUUAUCUUAUGUAUUUAUAAUAUUUUAAAUAAGAAUAUUUAACAAGUAAAUUUAUUGCUUAAAAUUAAUAAAAAUAUAAUUAUUUAUAAAAAUUAAUGAAGGCAAAUAUAUCAAUUUGAUGAUUUUAAGUUAAUUUUAUUUGAUAACCUUAAUACUUAAAAGUAAAAAUUAAAUAAUAAAUUUUAAGUCAAUAACUUCAAAAUAAUUUAAUUUAAAGUUAACUUAAAUUAUUAAGUAAUAAAUAUUAAAUUUUACCAAAUACCUACUUAAUAAUAAACUAGAACAAUGCAUUCCAUAUUUAACAAAAAACAAAGCUUAUUGAAAUUGAAAAUCUUUAAAAUUUCAGGUCCUAAAAGUUAACAUGAGAAAGAAAGGGGCAUGUGUACAUUCCAAGGGGACGAUUUAAAGCAGUCAAUAAGGGAACGGAUAGGACUCUUGACUGUCUACCCAAAAUGGCAAGGUCUCGUUGUUAUUUACUAAACCAUGUGAUAUAAUAUGAUGAAUAUUAGAACUUAGUGGAGGCCACACUCAUAAUUAUGAUGUCAUAUCUUACCCUUAAAUCAAAGAAUUCAUAAGUAUUACCUAAUGGAGCAUUAAUAAGUAUAGGUGGUCAAUAUUCUUUGUUGUAUCAAAAAACUUAAGCUAAAUUAUGUCGUAACUUUGGCCAAGAAAAAUCAAAGAAGAGCUACUUUGACUUUAUUAGUAUUUUGGGUAUCUUCCUUAGACACUGGCUUAUGAAAGUCAUCAAUAUAGGUCAAAUGAAUUGUUGUUACUUAAAUCCUAAAGCGAAAAUAGUAUGUGAAUUUGAUUUUUAUGGAAUGAAAUUAGAUAAAAGAACACUAAAUUAAUGAUGGUGCAAAUAUUGAUUUUUGUUUCAAAUGAUUCAAGUUUAGGGCUCUUCACAAUCUAAUCUAAGGUUAGAAGUAAAAGAGAACAGGAGUUUCUUAACUAGGAUGAUCUUAGGGCUUUGGAAUCCUUGGUUGCUCUCAAUCAAUCUGAGCUCUAUAACUUAGAAUUGCAUUUGAAACUUGUUUUUUCCUUUUUAAAAUAGAUCCUUAAAUACCAUUAAGUGAAUGAGAUUGAUUGUCGAUCAAGUUUUAACUUUUUAACCCUUUCUAUUCCUUGUAACUUUGUCUUAGGAUAAAUAAUGAUACAAAAGACCGUAAUUAAUAUUGUGCCACCAAGCCACAUUGCUAUUUACAAUAUGUUACGUAUGCAUUAUAUAUAUACAUAUAAAUUAUAUAAACAUAAAUUAAUUUAUAUUUUUAAUUAAAAUAAUUCAAUUAAUUUUAAUUAUUAUGUAUUUUGUAUCAUAAUUAAAUAUAAAAUAAUCAACAUUUUAAAAUUAAAAAUACUUAGACAUAUAUCAUCAUUUAUUUUAUAUCAUUUAAUAUAAUUGAAAUAAAUGGAUUAUAAUUUCAAUAUUAAAUAUAUUUUAAAAUUAAAUAUAUUAUAAUCAAAUAUUAUGAUAUUAUUGUUGAAUAAUAUUUAAUAAUAAUGUAUACUUAUAAAAUUCAUAUUUUUUACUAACCAUGCGAUAUUAUUAUGAAAUAUAAUAAAUUAUAUCAUAUACAUAUUUCAUUUUUUUUUUAUAAAACAACUUUAAAAUGUCUAUUAUUAUUUAUUAUAUUAUUUUUAGAGUUUUUCUCAACAUUUUCAUGAGUUUGAUUCAUUUUGGAUCAACCGAUAUUUUUAUGUCAAAUAAUCUGGNNNNNNNNNNNNNNNNNNNNNNNNNNNNNNNNNNNNNNNNNNNNNNNNNNNNNNNNNNNNNNNNNNNNNNNNNNNNNNNNNNNNNNNNNNNNNNNNNNNNNNNNNNNNNNNNNNNNNNNNNNNNNNNNNNNNNNNNNNNNNNNNNNNNNNNNNNNNNNNNNNNNNNNNNNNNNNNNNNNNNNNNNNNNNNNNNNNNNNNNNNNNNNNNNNNNNNNNNNNNNNNNNNNNNNNNNNNNNNNNNNNNNNNNNNNNNNNNNNNNNNNNNNNNNNNNNNNNNNNNNNNNNNNNNNNNNNNNNNNNNNNNNNNNNNNNNNNNNNNNNNNNNNNNNNNNNNNNNNNNNNNNNNNNNNNNNNNNNNNNNNNNNNNNNNNNNNNNNNNNNNNNNNNNNNNNNNNNNNNNNNNNNNNNNNNNNNNNNNNNNNNNNNNNNNNNNNNNNNNNNNNNNNNNNNNNNNNNNNNNNNNNNNNNNNNNNNNNNNNNNNNNNNNNNNNNNNNNNNNNNNNNNNNNNNNNNNNNNNNNNNNNNNNNNNNNNNNNNNNNNNNNNNNNNNNNNNNNNNNNNNNNNNNNNNNNNNNNNNNNNNNNNNNNNNNNNNNNNNNNNNNNNNNNNNNNNNNNNNNNNNNNNNNNNNNNNNNNNNNNNNNNNNNNNNNNNNNNNNNNNNNNNNNNNUUUCAUCAGGAGGCAGAGAAUCCCACUCGGGUUUCCAUGUGCAAAUGUUCCCGGACCAUAAGUUUCUGUAAGGCCAUAUAAGUGUGAUACACCGAAGCCCAGCUCCUCCAUCUUGCGAAGUAUGGGCGGAGGUGGUGGCGAACCACCUGUCAUUACUUCCACCUUGGAAGGAAGAGGCCUCCGGUCACUGACUGGUGAAUUCACAAUCAUGUUCAACACAGUUGGUGCCCCGCCCAUGUGGGUGACUUUGUGGAGAGCGAUGCUGUCAAAUAUGUCCUUUGGGAUGACACGCCUAAGGCAUACGUUGGUGCCACCUUGAGCUGCCACUCCCCAAGGCAGGCACCAUCCGUUACAGUGGAACAUAGGCACCGUCCAGAGGUAGACAGGCAUUGAGCCCAUUCCAUGGAGAACAAAGGUUGCAAGGGAAUUGAGAUAGGCACCUCUGUGAUUGUAAACGACUCCUUUGGGACUGGAUGUUGUGCCAGAAGUAUAAUUAACACUGAUUGGAUCCCACUCAUCUAUGGGCCGCCUGAUCUCAAAUUCAGAUUGUCCAGUUGCAAGGAGACUCUCAUAUUCAUAGCCGUCAGAAGUACUGAAGUUGGUGGGGGGUGAGCCAUCAGAUUCUACAAUUAAGACCAAGAUGGGUGGUUUUGUUUCUGUCUUCUUUAGAAGAUCAAGUGCUACAUGAGCAAUUUCAAGUAAUUGGUAGUCUACAAAUAUGAUCUUGGCUUCCGAAUGACGAAGCAGGGUUGACACCAUGGCUGAAUUGUGCCGUGUAUUAAGUGUACAAAGAACAGCUCCAGCCAUUGGGACCCCGAAAUGAAGCUCAUACAUUGCUGGAACGUUGGGGGCCAAUACUGCAACCUGAUCAACUAAUUUAGAAUUCCGAACAUGAAGAAAUAUGGUAAAUUUACACAAAUCAUUCCUAGGUUGUUGAUCAUGUCCAUGGUAGUUUCUGGGGUCUAAAAAUUCAUAAGGAAAAAUCAAAUGCCAAGAAAUUAGCCAUAGCCACUUCAUCAGAUUCCUCUGUCAUUCCCUAUUUUAACAAUUCGUAAAUUUGAGAGAUGCCAGUACCAAAAGAUUAACAAGAAAAAUCACAAGCAAAGCCAAUCACGCAACUCAUAAGGGGAAAAAAAACCAAAAGCACAAAAUUUGCUUAAUUUUCAAAUAACAAAAAAAACUAAAGAUAAAAACCAAACUGGAUAGAGAAAAACAGAGAUCAAAAUGAAUAAAUCAAAGAAAGGAAAUCAAAACAAAAAUUGAACAACCACCCAGAGAGGAACUCUGCAAUUUCAUUCAACAACAGCAUCAAAGUACACCAACAACAAUCAGAAAAUAAAGUUAAACUACAGCAACUUACAACGUCGCCUCGCGAAAUCCCCAACUGGGUGAGAGCAGAGGCCAAUUUGAGACACCGUUCUUGAGUCUCGCUCCAAGUAUACUUCACAGACCCAUACACAACUGAGGUUCUGUCUCUGUAAGCCGUUGCUGACCGCUCCAAGAAGGUUAUAGGAGACAGGGGCACGUCAUUCACCGGGCAUCGAACCAGACCCUCCGUUGAUUUCCAUGACCCAGGUCCGAUAUCCCCGGAAAAGUGACAGAAUCGUCGAGAAUCGUGACUGAGAUUUGGAUGAAGCCGGUUCAGACUAAAAAUGCAUCGAAUCAGUGAAUUCUUGAAAAACGGGUUCAUGGCUGCCAAGUAAUUGAGAUGAUGACUUGGCGCGUAGAAGAUCGGAUGAAAAGAUAAGCAUGAGUAGCCCUGUUGUCAUUCCCAUCAUGAUGAGCACUUUAUUUUUUAUAUUUUAGGUUCGUUAAAACUUCAAUUUUUCUCAAAAUUGGAUAAGAAACGUAUGUUUUCCAGUGAACAUGAAAGCUUCAAAAGCUAUCAUCUUUUAGCUUGACUUGGGAUGGUUUCCAAACAUAGAGGACUGGAUCAAAUCAAUAACACAGGUAAAAGUGAGAUUUAUGAAAAUAUAUGAAAAAAAAAAAAAAAAAACUCAUAAAAUUUAAAUUAGUAUUAUAUUUAUUUAUUUAAAAAUAAUUUAAAAUAUAUGUCUUUUCUUUUUUAAUUAAUAAGUCAUUCAAUUAUUCCUAAAAAUACUUUUUAUUUGUCGUGUAAUUCAAAUCAAUUGACAACUAGACUUUGAUGUUUCUUAUCUUUUUAGAUAUUUUAUUAUUAUUAUCAUUAUUUUAUUAUUUUAUUUUUUAAGAUUUUUUUCUCUUUAGAAACAAACACAUCGUAGGAUUAUUAUUUUAGCUUCUUAAAAGUUUAGGAAAUAUUAUACAAAAAAAUCUUAUUUAAAUGUGAUUAAUAUUUUUUUAUUUCUUAGAAUUUUAAGAGGAAAUAUUAUCAAACAAAUUAUAUUUAAUCAUAAUUAUCAAUUUAAAAAGUAAUAAGCUUAUUUAUUAAAUAAAUAAUAAAUUAAGUAAUAUAUAAUUAUUUUAAUUAUGAUUAAUUUAUUUAAUAUAAAAUAAUUUUUUAUUUUUAUACUAUAUAUCAAAGUACAACCAUAUUGUAAAAUAUUUUAUAUAUCAAAAACUCUUACAAAAAUUUUUAUUCACUAUUAUAUUAAACAAUUAUUAAUAUUAUAUAAUAAAUAAAAAUUUAUUAUUGGUUUAUUUAUUAUCAAGAAUAUUAAUUUAUUUUUAACUUAUUAAUACUAGAAUAAACUCUUUUUGUUUUCAAAUUCUUACUUUAUAAUAUUUCUAGAGAAAGAAAAAUCCUAGAUAAAAUAAUAAUAAUAAAAUGUCUUAAAGAAAAUAAACAUCUACUAUAAAUGAGUCUAAUUGUCAAUUGAUUUGGAUGACAUGACAAGUAAUUGACCAUUUUUAGGAAUAAUUGAAUGAUUCAUUAAAAAAUAAAUGUAUUUUAAAUUAUUUUUAAAUAUACUAAUAUAAUACUAAUUUAAAAUAUUUAAAAUUCAUUUUUUUAGAUAUUUCCAUAUUAGUGAAUCAAAUCCCACUUUUCCCAAUAACAUGGAGUUGAAUGACAAAUCAAGAACUUACUCCAAGUGAGGGAUUCAAAUUCAAAGGAACAAGGAUGAUUUGAAUUCUUUAGAUAAAUCUUUUAUUUUUUAUUUUUUACUUUUUAUUUUUUCAUUUUUAAAAUUAAAAAUUUUAUAAAAGAAUACAAAAAAAAUUAUAAGAAAAAAAAUUACUUUAUACCCCUAAAAACUCUUCAAAAUUUUUAACUUUGGGAAAAAGUGACAAAAAUUUAGCUCCUUCAAUUUAAGAUUUUAAAAAGAGUUUUUGGCCUUUCCUAUUUUUCAUCUGAAAAAGAAAAUUUUUUAUACAAAAUGUAAAAAUUAGUAUUUUGGCAAAAAAAAUUUAUCUUGAAUUUUUAAAACUUAUUUUUAAUUUAAAAAGCUUGAGGAAAAUUAAAAAUAUUCGUUUCAUAUUUUUCACUCUUCUAAAUUUUAAAACUUAUAAGAUUAUGUUUGAAUUCUAAAAAUGGAAGGAAAGAAAAAAAUAAAGAAAAUAAAAAAUAAAUUUAAAGUCAAUAAAUUAUUUUUAUAUAUUAUUUCAAACUUUUUUCACUUAUUUAACUCUUAUAUAUAAAUAUUAAAUAAUUUAAAAAUAUACAAAUUUCUUAAUAAUUUUAAUUAUAUUAGUAACUGUUCAUGUGCAUAGUUGAGUACAAUAAAUAAACAAAUAAAUAAUAAAUUAAAAAAAAAAAAAGAUUAUCAAAGCAUUGCAAACCUUUCUAGUUUAAAGCCCCAAACAUCUUGUGAAUAACAACAAUAAUUAUCACAAGGAAAAGAAUAUAUAAAUAUUACCUUUCUUUUUUGUCCUAAGCGAGGAAUUUCUCAUUUUAUAAAAAUGAAAAAAAAAAUUAUAUAUUUAACAAUAUAUAUUUAUAUAAGAAUUUUUCAAAUUAUUAUUAAAAAAAUUAUAUACUUUACAAUAGUUAUCUAUAUUAUAUGUAUUAAAAUAUAAAAUUAAUAUACUUAUGUGGACCCCGCAUUUCGGCUCAUGCACUUCCACUCGAUGGCUAGCUCAAUUUUUUUAUUUGAAAAUGAUUUUAUUUAUUAAAAGAAUGACUUGGAGUCGCCACUUAUUUUUGUUUUAUUUUUAAAGGGUAAACAAAAUAAGAAAGAAAACCCUAAGUGUGACUUCUUAUUUUGGAAAAUGUGGUUUGCGAAAAAUCGGGUCGAGUUUGGGGGUCAGGUUACUUAUCAGGAAAGUACGGUAAAAACCAUAGCACCCUUCUAAGUCCCUAAAAACGGGUCUCUACUAAUGAAAUGGAACAAUCAUGACAAUUANNNNNNNNNNNNNNNNNNNNNNNNNNNNNNNNNNNNNNNNNNNNNNNNNNNNNNNNNNNNNNNNNNNNNNNNNNNNNNNNNNNNNNNNNNNNNNNNNNNNUAAGUCCUAAAACGAGGUCUCUACUAAUGAAAUGGAACAAUCAUGACAAUUAAUUAAUCGAGCAUGGAUACUGAAUGAAUAUCACUCAAAACAAAAUAAUUGAAUGAAUAGGAGAGGCAAAUAAUGUACCUGAGUGAUGAACUGGUUUACUUCAAUGAAAACAAAUGUUAGCAAUUAAACACAAAAUAAUCGUGUGUGUAUCAUAGAAUAGUGUAAAUCAAUCACAGAUAGCAAUCAAAUCAAUCAAUCCACCAAUCGAUCAUAAAAUCACGCGUGUGGGGCCCCCACCAAAGCCCAAUCUAUCUUGCACGAAUUAAUCCCACAAAUUCCAUUAAUCUGGAAUUAUGAAAAUUACAUUCAUGCUUAUCUAAAAUCAAGAGAAAUAGAAGAUUAUAUGAAACCCAAAGGGAAUUAAAACUGUUGGAAAGAAAACUAGAUUUUUUUGAAAUUUAUUUGAAAAUUGGAGUCUUGAGAAUUGAAUUUAAGAAUUGGAAUUUUGGAAAUUAAAUUUGAAAGCAAUUAGUAAAUUAUUUAAGGAUUGGAGUUUUGAAAAUUUAAAUUUAAGAAUUGGGAUUUUAGGGAUUAGAUUCGAAAGAGAGUAUAAUUUUGAAAAUUACUUAGGAAGUAGAAACUAUGAAAGUUAAAUUAUAAAAAAUUGAAAUAUUGGAAAUUAUUUGAAUGUGGAAAUUUUAAAAAUAAAUAGAUAAAAUGAUAAUAAUAAUAAUAAUAAUAAUAAUAAUAAUAAUAAUAAAUAAAUAAGUGGAAUAAUAAUAAUAAUAAUGAAAACAAUAAUUAAAUAGGUGAACGUAAAUAGUGGAAUUUUUGAAAUUGGAAAUUGGAAAAUUGGAGUUUCAGAAAUUGGGAAUUUAAUUUGGAAAUUGGAAUUUUUAAAGGAUUAUUUAAAGAUGAAAAUUUGUAAGAUAGAAUUAUUUGGGUGUUAGAUUUCCAUAAAUCAACUUUUAAAAUUUGGGGGCUUUGGAAAUGGGCCAAGGGUGAUGGCCAUGCAAAUUGGAGCAUUUAGGAAUGGGCCAAGGUGGAAAGAAAUUUUGAAAGGAUGCUCAUGGGCCAAGGGUGUUGGAUUUUCAUAAAUCAAUUUUUAAAGUUUGUGGGCUUUGGAAAUGGACCAAGGGUGAUGACCAUGCAAAUGGGAGCAUUUAGGAAUGGGCCUAGGUGGAGAGAAAAAUUAAAAUGAUGCUCAUGGGCCUGGGCUUCAAAAUGCACUUUGAGAUGACCCUAAAAUGGAGUAAGGCCUUCAAAAUGCACUCACGGGCCUUGGGCUUCUCCAAUCCAUUGUGCAAGAAAAUAAGUUUAGUGGGCUUUGGAAAUGGGCCAAGAAAUGUGGCCAUGCAAAGGUGGAGGAAAUAGGGUUGAUGGGUCUUUGGAAAAUGGGUAUAUGCUGGGCUUUGGAAGUGGGCCAAGAAAGGUGGCCAUGCAAAGGUGUGGGUUGAUGGGUAUUUGGAAAAUGGGUAUAACCGGGUAGGGAGUAGAAAGUGAGUGAGUUAGUGAGAAAAUGAGGGUUUGGUGGUAGUGGUGGUGUAGAGAGAGAAAGGUGGUAAGAAGAAGAAAAAUGGGUAAGUGGAGGAUAGUUAUGUAUGGGAGGGUGGUGAUAUACAUGAGGGCAUGGAGGAUACGGGUAUGGAGGUUAGCAUAGGGAGAAAUAGGCAUAACCUGGCCAUGCAUGGCCAUGCAAGAGUGGAAAAAAAUGGGUUUGGCGGGAAUGAAUAAUGGGAAUGCAUGAGGGGGGUAUGAAGAGUGGAAUGGGUACGUGAUGGGUGUGAGGAAAUGGGCAGUGGGCAGUGGGCAUUGAGGAUGUAGAGAGAGAAAACGGGCAUGAAAGGUGAUCAUGCAUGCGUGAGGAUAGAUGGGUAUAAAAGAUGAGUAUGUGGGGCUUGAAAAUGGCAUGAAGUGAAGGUGGCCAUGCACAUAGGGUUCCAUGUACGUGGAUAGGAAGAGAUAAACGGGUUUGAUGGAUAUUUGAGAAGUGUUGUAAAGGGGAUGUGGUGUGGUGUGGUGUGGUGUAGAAGGAGAAAAGGUGGUGAUGGGUAUGUGAAGGUUUAGAGAGAGAAACAGGUUUGGUGGUAUGGUUAAAUGGGUGUACACAUGGGUAUGGUAGAACAUGGUUAUGAGUAGCAUGAAGAAGGAUGGGUAUGGGUUGUAUGGAUAUGGAGGCUUGGGUGAGUGGUUUUAAUGAGUAUGUGAAGGAGUGAAGGAUAGCAUGCACCCGUGAGACUCCAUGUAAGUGAGGGAGUGGGAUGGAGAAUGAAUGAGAGGAAAAUGGGUGUGGUGAAGGAUGCUUGAUUCUUGCAAGCUUGAGUGAGGAAAUGGGUAUGGCUGACGCGAACAGUGAAGAAGGCGUAGGCAUGUGGUAACCGUGUUAUUCAUCAUGAGAACAUGAAGUCUUUGUUUGGACAAGUUAAACUUUUCUCCAUGCACAAGGGUCAUUUACAAGGGGAAAAAAACGAGAGCAUCAAAGAUGACCAAAACAGAGCAUAUAUGGGCAGAUAAUCACAUUCAACCAAACCCAUCUUGUGGCCCUUGAUGUCCAUAGCAAACCAACAAAUAAAACCCAAAAACUAUCAAGAAACAGGAUACAACUCUUGAGAAUGUACAAAAUAGUGCGGAAAUCAUACCUGGAUCGAACUAACAAGCUCUUUCCCUGCUCUCCGUGACUCCGCCUGGGCCUCCUCUCUACAGUCUAGCUUCCCCCCCUUUUUCUUCCCUUCUUUUUUUCUUUCUCACUUGCCAAAGAUAUCCACUCCCUCCCAAAAUAUGCUCUCCCCGGAAAGCCCGCACCUACCCUGUUGUUCCUCCUCUUAGUAGGUCGUCGUCCCAACCACCACCAUGGUGAGGUGGUGAGGUACUUGCCAUGCGUCUCAUGCAGUUGAUGCUUGAAGAAGUCGAUCCCCCUCUCCUCCCCUACAAGAAGCUGCCAUCUAUCCGGGUGCCCCCAUGAGGGGUCUACAACUUAUAACUUAAAAUUAAUAUGUUUAUAAUUUAUAAGAUGACAUAUUAAUAUUCUUAUAAAUAAAAAAUAUGUUAAACCUCAUAUUCUUAGGUAAGUGUGAAAUGAGACCAUUUAAUUUAUUAUAAUAUGAAGCUUUUAUUAAGUUUAAUAGAAAUAUUUUCACAAAAUCUUGAUUUGGAUUUUAAAUUGAAAUUUACUCAACACAACUUUAGUUUAAUUUGAAAUGUUUUGGACUAAGUAUACAUUUAUUUAAUUUAAAUUAUGGGGAAAAAGAUUUCAAACCUUCAAGCCAAGUAAUUAAAUUUUUCUCCAGCUUCAUAGUGUAUGAAGGUUCAAACCAAAAACGCUCCAAUGGUCAAACGUAUCACUCAAAUUAGGUAUAUAAAAAAAAACUUCAAAACAUUGAUAAAUCAUUUUGAGAAAAUACAACAAUAAUAAAUUAGCAUAAGGCUGUAUGGUAUAAUAUUAAAAAAGCAACAUCUCCAAUAAAGUGAGUCAUCUCCAAACUUGAAGAUGGUCAAGACAAACACUUUCAUGCACAUUUCUAUUUUGCUGAAACUUGAAUAAGAAGAACACAACAAUAUAGUUCUAUUCUAUGAAUGAUAACUUCAUUUAACAUGUUUGUAUUCAUACUCUUCUUUCUUACCAUUCAUUUUUAAAGACUUUGAAUGCUUUAGAUACCCAUAUUUCAAUUUUAAUGAAUAAAUUAGGUGUUGGAGCUUUGAAAACUUCAUUCAAGAGCUUUAGUUUAAGAUUUAAAACCCUAUAACUCUCAUUUGAGACUCAUAAUCUCAAAGUUGAGAAUAAAAUCCUCUCCUUUUGUCUUUCAUUCAAUUUUCUCAUAAAAUUACUAAAACCAAACAAAAAAAUAAUUCUUAUAUAUACAGGAAAAGUGGUUCUUAAUUUGAAAAUAUAUAUAUAUAUAUAUAUAUAUAUAUAUAUAUAUAUAUAUAGAAAAAUAAUAUCAACAUCUAUAAAUUAAUUUUAUCUUCAUCUAUUUAAAAAUAUUUUAAAAUAUAUGCACCUUUUCAUAANNNNNNNNNNNNNNNNNNNNNNNNNNNNNNNNNNNNNNNNNNNNNNNNNNNNNNNNNNNNNNNNNNNNNNNNNNNNNNNNNNNNNNNNNNNNNNNNNNNNACCUUUUCAUAACUCAAAUAAUUAUUUCUUGAAAUACUUUUUUACUUGAUAAUAUUAAAUAAAAUUAUCUAAAAUUAAUUUAUCAUUUUAAUUUAAUAAAUGUGUUUUACAAAUAAAUAUAUUAUAAAUUUUCUAUUAUAUAAUAUGAGAUACAUGUGGAAAAAUCCUCCAAAAUUCUCAAAUGAUAAAUAAAAUUUUUUAUAAUCUCCUAGUUAAUAAUGAUUUUAUAUAUCGUGUAUUAUAUAAAUCCCUUCAUUUUCUCAUUUUAUUUAAUAAAAUUGAAUAAAAAUUUUGUUAGUUGACAUCAAUAAUAAAUAAAUAAAUUUUAAAAAUUAUAAAUACAAUUAAAACUAAAAUACAUAAAAAUUAAAUAAAUUAAAAACAAAAAAAACUUAAAAAUUAAAAAUUAAAGUAUUUACUCUCAUUGUAUUUUUAGCUCUUUCUUGAUAUUUAUAUUUUCUACCAAAGUGUUUUAAUGAAGUGAAAUUUAAUAUUUUAUUUUUAUAUUUUUAUAUUUUUAUAUUUUUCGCAUUAUUAUUUUUUAAUUUUAAUUGCAUUUUUAAUUUUUAAAAAUUCUGAUUUUAUUAAUCUCAAAUCAUUUCUCACAAUAAAAAAAGUUGUUAAUUGGUGUUGUUAAUAUAUAAAAGGUCAUUUUAGAAAUUAAUUAUUUAAAUUAUAAAAAAGUACAUGUAUUUUAAAAUAUUUUUAAAUGGGUGAAGAUAAAUAUGAUUUAUAAAAGUUUUUAUUCUUUUUUCUAUAUUUUUUCAAAUUAGUGAAUCAAAACAUAAUUUCCCUUAUAUAUAUACUUUGGAUAAAUGGAAUAAUGAAGAUAAAAUGAAGUAUAUUGGUUUCAUACACUUUCUUUAAAAUAAAUUAAAAUAAAAGAUUUAUAUUAAAUUUUAAAAUUCUUAAAGAAAAAUUAUUGACUUAUAUUGUGUUGUUAAAAAUUAUAUUUUUAGUUUGUUUUUAAAAACCAUUAUAUAUUUUGUAAAACUUAUUAUUAUUUUUUGUUUCUAAAGAUAGAAAAUAACUUAAAGGUUAAAUUAAAUAAUUUCUAAAGUUUUUCUUUAUUAUAUAUAAAAUGUCAAAAUAUUUGAUAUUUUAUUGAAUGUUAAAAAUAACUUUUUGAAAUAAUAAAAAAACAACUCAAUAUGAUCAUCGCUCUAUUAAGAUUUAAUAUGUAAUAGAAAUAAAAAAAAAUAAAAACACAAUUAAUACUAUUGAAUUGUAUUUAAAGUUGAGUUAGAUUAUGUUUUAUUCAACCAAAAAAAUAAUAUGAGCGUAUAAAGAAUAGUCAACUUUAAUAUAACUCUUAGGGUCUGUUUGAUAGUAAUUAAUUAUAGAAAACGUUUUUAACUUGAAAAAUGCUUUUAAAAAAAACAUUAAGUGUUCGACAAACUUCGUGAAAUAUUUUUAAAAAUUUGAAAAAUAAAAUAGGUUGAUUGAAUGAGCCCCAUGUCUGAGUUCGUGCAAGUAAACUAGGAGUUUGUUUGAAGUAGUGGAGACUGGAGAGCUCAAAAUGAGACGGAGAAUGGUGCUUGGGAGUUGGUGAAUGGUUUUUAGUUUACGAAGCCCAAUGUGAGGCUCAGAGGAUAAACGAGAUUUUGGAGGAGGGGUGGUCCAGAUUCCAAACUCCUUGUGAAGAGCUACUGGAGAAUGCCGUGUGGUCAAUGAAAGGGUUAGAACUUAGAAGAAAGUUGCAUAGGUCAUGCAUGACGCAGUUUGCACCAACUUUUUGAGAAAAUAAUAAAAAAAAGUUUAAGGUGACAUUGAGGUAGCAUGCAAACUUUUAUGGUACAAUUGUGUCCAGUCGUUGUCUUUUUCUCAUCCUUGGGCCCAUGUCCACAACACUUGCAUAAUUCAACACUCUUUACUAUUCACACCCUUGUAAUCCUUGAGAUUAAAAAAAAAAAAAAAAAACCUUAAUGAUGUAUGCAAUUUGCUUUCAAAAUUUAAAUAAUUUGUUUUAAACUUUUUUUUCUUUUUUGCUUAUUACUUAUUUCUAAAGUUUUUUUUUAUUAUAUAAUAAAAUAUCAAAAUAUUUGAUAUUUUAUUGAAUGUUAAAAAUAACUUUUUGAAAUAAUAAAAAAACAACUCAAUAUGAUCAUCGCUCUAUUAAGAUUUAAUAUUUAAUAGAAAUAAAAAAAAUAAAAACACAAUUAAUACUAUUGAAUUGUAUUUAAAGUUGAGUUAAAUUAUGUUUUAUUCAACCAAAAAAAUAAUAUGAGCGUAUAAAGAACAGUCAACUUUAAUAUAACUCUUAAGGUCUGUUUGAUAGUAAUUAAUUAUAGAAAAUGUUUUUAACUUGAAAAAUGCUUUUAAAAAAAACAUUAAGUGUUCGACAAACUUCGUGAAAUAUUUUUAAAAAUUUAAAAGUUAUUUGUAAUAUUAAAAAAUCACUUAUAAUAUUUUUUGAAAAAAAUAUUUAAUAAGUGAUUUUUUUAAAAACAUUUUUCUUAAAAAUAAAUAUUUUUAUUAAAAACACUUAGAAUAUAAAUACUGCCAAACACAUUCUUAAUAGAUAUUGCAUUGCAUAAACAUCGGGUUAGAUAAGGUAGGCUUGUCCUCAUAAACAUCCUAUGCUACUUGGGAGUCCAAAGGUUGUUUAGGACAAAACCAUUUUACGAGACAAGUUUCUUUUAGAAGUUUAAAAAUACUAAGACAUGCAUGCACAAUGGGAAAGCAAAGAUGAAUAAAAGUCAAAUUAGUCGGUUUUCAAAAGUAAGGUGUUUCUAUUCCCACGAUUUCACUGAUAUUUAAUAAAUAACAGUAUGUUUCCGCUGCAAUUAAUUACUUCAGUAACAUUUAAAAGUAGCAUCCUUCAUUCAUAACUCUCUUGUCUGUCUUGAAAAGUUUAGGAUUAGUGGAAGAGGUAGAUCUGUCAAGCACCAAUCCCCCUUUCAAAAUAUGUUCCUUACUCUUUUUCCCCUGCUUAAAUGAAUUUCUAACUUAAAUGAAAAUCCUAUAUCAUACCCAAAGACGUGGGAUAUGGUAGAGAAUGGUUAUUAAUAACUAGCUUUCUUGGCAGCAACUUACUAGGCUGAAAGAAAAUCCUAAGAAGAAUUAAGACAUUGUUUAAUAUCUAUGACUAAGGCAAUGAUUAAGACUAACUUCUAGAAGAGUUUUCUUGUUUAUGAUAUUGCCACCUUACUCACCAAGGAUGCAGAGUUUUCUUGAUUUUAUUUUUAUUUUUUUAAUAUUUUAUAUUUACAUAAUUACAUUAAACUCGACUUUUCAAAAAGGGAGUUGACUGUUUAAGCCCGACUCAUCUUUUCAUAAAAAAGUAAUGGGACAUUUUUGCUUUCAUAUUUUGGCCUCAUCUAUCUUAUACCAGUAUAAAAUGAAAAUAUAUCUAUCAAUCAGAUCAAAGUUAAAUGUUGAUACUAUUAACCACGCGAAAUUGUUCAUUGAUUACAAAACAAGAAGGCUAUGUUUGGUUCUCGGAAAAUGUUAAGGAAAGGAAAAAAAAUCAUGUGGAAAAUGAUUUUCUUUAGUUUGGGUGACAUGAAAAAUACGAUGAAAAAAAAAUAUAAAGAAAAAUAUUAAAGAAAAUAUCAUAAUAUUUUCCUUACUAGUUUCCUUAAAAAAUAAGGAGGAAAAUAAGAGAAAAGAGAGGGGAAAAGUUGGGGAAAAUUUUAUCUGGGUGGUAUCGGCUUGCCAGAAGUGAAGGCUUUGCGAAUGAGGGGACCGAGAUCUUCAUUGUUGCAGAUAGCGGAGGAGAGGAGAAGUUGAUCAAACUUCUCAGAUGAGUCGUCGUCGGCGGUCGCCGGGACCACUUUGCAGCGCAUUUUCGACGACUCCAUCAUUGUUUAACCGUUGGAGACGGCGAAGGAGCAGUGGCUAUAUCGCUCUGGGUUUCAUCAGGAAACUCAUUUUCUCGCUCUUUCACUUUCUGGGUCUCUUCGAUUUCCUGGAAACUGACAUUUCGUGGUCCGAAACGUAGACGCAAGUGCCGGAAUACCCGCCUGUAUCGGCGGUUUUGAUUCGUGAAAUCCUGCUGAUGAUGAAAUUCGGGGAGGCGGUUUGCGAUGGCGACGCGCAGUAUAUUUGUACGACUUCGAGGUAGGAGAAGAGAUCAGGUGGUUGACCAAUUGUAAACACAUUUUCCACCGAAGCUGUCUGGACCGUUGGAUGGAUCACGAUCAGAAGUUGUGCCUGAUGAGAUGCAAGAUGAGUUUAAUCAACGACUCUGGGUUGCCUCUGGGAUCACAUGGGUUUUAUUUUAUUUUUAAAAUUUUGGUAUGGUGAGGGUGAGAGGGUUGAACUGUAUAUACACGAAGAAGAAAAAAAAAAUGCUAAGUACAAUUAAAAAAGGGUAAGUUUUCAAUAGUUAUUGAACAAUGGGCUCCCACAAAAUGCGUUCUUCUAUAAUUAUUUUUUAGAAAAUAAGAGCACAAAAUUUAUUUUAUUAUUUAAUAAAUUAAUAAUCAUUUAAGACAAAUUAUUGAUUUUGUUUUCCUUCUAUUUUUCCUUUAACUUUUUUUUCGUGGUUAACCAAACAAAAGAAAAUGAAUUCUUUUUUUUUUUCCCCUGAAUUUUUCAUAGAUAACCAAACAAGUGAAAAAAUUUAUAUUCCUUUCCUUAAUUUUUUCUUUCCUUCCAUUUUUCCUCCCGAUUUUCUUUCUCUCGCAUUUUCCGAGAACCAAACAUAGCCAAAGGGAAAGAAAGAAAGCAAAUCAAACCCCACCUGUGAUAUUUUUGGCGUGUGUGAGAGGCGGCAAAGAUCAAAGGUCAAAUUGAGCGGCUAAAUAAAUAAACAAAUAAGAUUUUUGGGUUGUUCUAUGGUACCCACUCUUCAUUUUGGGGGUACCUACCCACAUUUGACCCCAAUAAAAAAUGACAUGUGUAAAAUACAUAUCAUUAAAAAAUUUAUAAAAACUUAUCAAAUCGGUAAAGAUGACUUGUUAGUGAGAAAUAAUCACAUGCAUUUCAUAUAUAUGUAAAUAUUACAAAUUUUUUAUAAUUUAUUAUUAAAUAUCAAAUAUAAUUUGUUAUUUAAUACAUUACCUAACUCUAUUUAAAAAAAGAAAAUCCUACCAACAACUCUUAUACUCUCAUUAUUCAUAUAUAAAAAAAGGAUAGUAAUUUAAUAUGAAAAUUAAAUAAUUUCAACUACCAAAUUACAAAAUAUGUAAGAUGUAUUUUGAUGAAUCAAAUUUCAAGAUCAAGUUUAAAACUUUUUGAGAGAGAAUUUAAAAUUUGUAUUAUAUGAAGAAGAUGAAGAAUUUCAAGUGAUUACAAGUGUCAAAGGUAAUAUUUGAUAUUUUUUUUAUCCANNNNNNNNNNNNNNNNNNNNNNNNNNNNNNNNNNNNNNNNNNNNNNNNNNNNNNNNNNNNNNNNNNNNNNNNNNNNNNNNNNNNNNNNNNNNNNNNNNNNAAAUGUCAUGUUAAAUGACAUUUUAAAUAUUUAAUGAUUUAUAACAUCUAGAAUUUUUAAUUUUUUUUUCUGAGUUAUUAUUAAUCAAAUUGAGAGCAUUUAGUCAUUUGUUAUGAAAUUGUCAUCACUAUUUUGUAAGAGAGUGUACGAACUUUCUAAUAGAGGGUACGAACAUUGUAAAAGAAGGUACAAAUUUUUUAAGAGAUGGUACAAACUUUCUAAGAAAUGGUACGAACUUUCUAAGAGAAGAUAUAGACUUUCUAAAAGAAUGUACGAACUUUCUAAGAGAACGUACGAACAUUGUAAGAGAAUGUACGAACAUUGUAAGAGAAGGUACGGACUUUCUAAGAGAGGGUACGAACUUUCUAAGAGGGGGUACGAACUUUUUAAAAGAUGGUAUGAACUUUCGAAGAGAUGGUAUGAACUUUCUAAGAGAAUGUACGAACUUUUUAAGAGAUGGUACGAACUUUCUAAGAGAUGGUACAAACUUUCUAAGACAGUGUACAAACUUUUUAAGAGAUGGUACAAACUUUCUAAGAGAGGGUACAAACUUUCUAAGAGAGGAUACGAACUUUCUAAGAGUUGGUACGAACUUUCUAAGAGUUGGUACGAACUUUCUAAGAGUUGGUACAAACUUUCUAAGAUAGGAUAUAAACUUUCUAAGAUAGGGUACAAACUUUCUAAGAAAGGAUACGAACUUUCUAAGAGUGGGUACAAACUUUCUAAGAUAGGAUACGAACUUUCUAAGAGAAGGUACAAACUUUCUAAUAUAGGGUACGAACAUUCUAAGAAAUGGUACAAACUUUCUAAGAGGGUACGGACUUUCUAAGAGAGGGUACGAACUUUCUAAGAAAGGGUACGAACUUUCUAGGAGUGGGUACGAACUUUCUAAGACAGAGUACGAACUUUCUAAGACAGUGUACGAACUUUCUAAGAGGGGGUACGAACUUUCUAAGAGGGGGUACGAACUUUCUAAGACAUUGUACGAACUUUCUAAGACAUUGUACGAACUUUCUAAGAGAGGGUACGAACUUUCUAUGAGAGGGUACGAACUUUCUAAGAGAUGUUGCGAACUUUUUAAGAGAUGGUACGAACUUUCUAAGAGAGGGUACGAACUUUUUAAAGUACGAAUUUUCUAAGAGAGGGUACGAACUUUCUAAGAGAGUGUACGAACUUUCUAAGAGAGUGAAUUAAAUAAAAUUAUCAAAAAUAUAAUUUAUCAUUUCAAUUUGAUAAAAGUAUCUUACAAAUAAAUAUAUUAUAAUUUUUUUAUUAUAUACUAUGAUUUGAAAAUCAUUUUGAAAAAAAUUCUCCAAAAUCCUCAAGUGAUAAAUAAAAUCUUUCUAAUUUUCUAAUUAAUAAUCAUUUUAUGUCCAAUAUUAUAUAAAUCCACCCACCUAUAAAAAUUCUGUUAAUUGACAUCAACAAUCAAAUAAGAAAUUUUAAAUACAAUUAAAACUAAAAUACUUAAAAAUUAAAUAUAAUUAAAACCAAAAAACUUUAAAAAAAAAUUUAAAAAUAUUGACUCUUAUUGUAUUUUGAAUUCUUUCUUGAAUCUAUAUUUUUUACUAGUGUAAUUUAGUAAAGUGAAAGUUAAAAUUUUAUUUUUAUAUUUUUAGCUUUAAAGUUUUUUUUAAUUAUAUUUUAAAAUUUUUAAAUUUCUUAUUUUAUUGAUCUCAAUUCUCACGAUAAAAAAAAAUAAAAAUAGUCAAAUGGUGUUAUUAACCUCACAUGUAAAAGAUCAUUUUAAGAAAUAAUUAUUUUUAUUGUGAAUUACAUGUAUUUUAAAAUAUUUUAAAAUGUUAAUGAAGAGCAGAAAAGCACCAUAGCACAUAUAACCAUGAAAAUCCUAGCCAUUUUUUCUUGUACACAAAUUUAUUGUAUUUUUUAUGGUGAUCAGACUCUCCAAAUUCCUGCAAGAACCAAAACCCAUCCACAGUUAGAUCCAAGCCUGUCAACACAAACCCAUCAAAUAAAAUCCAACCAGCAACACCCAGUGAGUUGAGAAACCCCUAAAUUUCCCCCAAUUUUGAAAUUCCAUUUCCAAAGUCUGAUCAAAAUCCUAUUUUUUUUUCCCCUCCCCACUACACUAGAAAGAGUUUUUCUUUUUCAGAAACCCAACCCACCGAAUCUCUGCAAGAAUCAAAUAAAAAAAAAAUAGAAAAAGAACAAACACAAUCAGCAUCAUGAAUAGUAAACCAAAUGGAAAAAUAGAUCUUGAUGGACUCGUUCCAACAAAAAGUAAGUCAAAAUAAGAAAGUUCAUUGCCAACAUUUAAUAAUACAGUAAAUCAAUGACAAAGAUGAGAAGGAAAACGAGACUGAAAUGUGAAGACUAUGAAACCAUGAAUUGCAAGCAAAAAUCAGUUGAAAGGUGACUCAUUUCCUGGUCUGGGAACUUCCCCACAAACCCAACUUGUUAAAACCUCCACACCACCAGCAAAACCAGACCAAACUCCCAUCUCUGCAAGCAUCCCAUAUUUUUCUCCACAAUGUGUUUACUUCCCUCAUUUUCCCACACCAAAGGUUUCCCAAGAAAACCCAGCCUGCAAAACCCCUAAAACAGCAAGAAAAUGUAGCUACAAAGAACACAGAUCCAGAUCAACUCACCCAAAACCCACACUCAAGGAAAAAAGAGAAAAUACCCGUCAACAAAAAAGAACAAGCAAACAAACAAAAAAUUCACCAAAACCCCUCAACAUUAUCCAAGAACAACACACAAAACCACCAUACUAGUUUCAGAGAAGAACAACACUCUUAUUACAAGUUUACCGGCAACCUGUAACUUAUUUCUUUUUUUUCUUUUUUUCUUUUUUAAAUACAUAAGCCAGUUGGGCGGUCCGGAUUGAACCACCUUCAUCCAAUAGCCAAAAAUGUUUUUUCGAUAGGUACCGAAGUAGUACCAUAGAAUUUUCCAAGAUUUUUAUAUGCUCUUGUUUUUUAAAUCAAGCAGGUUUGCCCUCUUCACUGCUUUACUCCUACAGGUUGCUGGUCCGUUUUCAUCUUCUUCUUCUGUCAUUAAGUUCGGCGCCACCAAUGGCAGACUCAACGCCUUCUCAGAGUAGCAUGGAUCGGAGAAGCUCAUCGUGGCCUUUGGGUCUUCUCACUUUGAUCUUGGCUCCAGUUGCAGCAGCCAUGCUUCUCUACCAACUCGACCCCUAUGACCCAGCUCCUGUCCCCAUCCACGAGUUUUCACAGCAACCCAUGGUCGUGCCCAAGCUCAACCCUCGCAUGCUACAAGGAUCGGAGAUGAUUGGGGUUGGGAAGCUUUUGAGUCCAGAGGACAUUGCCUAUCAUCCCGACUCACACCUCAUCUAUACCGGUUGUGAUGAUGGCUGGGUCAAGCGAAUCACCUUGAACGAUUCCAUGGUACAGAACUGGGCUUUCACCGGAGGACGACCCCUCGGCGUGGCUCUCGGCCGCCACGGUCAACUUGUUGUCGCUGAUGCCGAAAAGGUCGGUAAAUGAUUUUCCUGUUUCCUAUUUACUUUUCGUAGCAAUAUAUUCACUUCCAAAGUUUAGCGAUCCCGCCCCCAACUCUAGCGGAGAAGCACCCUCUAUCCACUUACCCUUUUCCGGUCCGGUUCGGUGGAAUAUCUAACAGUCCAACCGGCUGUUAGAUCGCAGAACUGGACAAACUGCCUGGUUUUGCACUCCCAUCCAUUAUUUAAUAUUUUAGACAGUGAUAAAUUCUGAUUUUAUUUAAUUAAGAAAGAUUGUAAAAGAAAAAAAUAAAGAAAUUCAUAGUCAUACUCACGUGUCACGACAAACGAAUAGCAGAAAAUGAAGCACACACGUCGGCACAAGCAAGGUCCACCUGCCCUUCAUAGAUUGACUGAUUGAUAUACAGAAGCCUACGCAUCCCUCCCCUUUGGCCCACCAACUAAUAAUAAAUUAAUAA